GGCUCUGUAGCUCAGUUGGUUGGAGUCUGGUGCUGAUAACACCAAAGUUGCAGGUUCAAUCUCCGUAUGGGACA